CCUACGGGUGGCUGCAGUGAGGAAUAUUGGUCAAUGGCCGGAAGGCUGAACCAGCCAUGCCGCGUGAAGGUCAGUGCCCUAUGGGCGUUAAACUUCUUUUGUGCGGGAGCAAUAAUGGUCACGUGUGGCCAGACGAGAGUACCGUACGAAUAAGCAUCGGCUAACUCCGUGCCAGCAGCCGCGGUAAUACGGGGGCUGCAAGCGUUAUCCGGAUUUAUUGGGUUUAAAGGGUGCGUAGGCUGGGAGGUAAGUCAGCGGUGAAAUGCCCCCGCUCAACGGGGUGAAGUGCCAUUGAUACUGCCUAGCUGGAAUGCGGAUGCCGUGGGAGGAAUGUGUGGUGUAGCAGUGAAAUGCAUAGAUAUCACACGGAACACCGAUUGCGAAGGCAUCUCUCGAAUCCACGAUUGACGCUGAUGCACGAAAGCGUGGGUAGCAAACAGGAUUAGAUACCCUGGUAGUC
rnacentral:rRNA from 1 species